GUUUCUCUGGGCGCGCCCUUGGAUCUGCUUCUCUCUCUUGCCUGUUAUAUUCUCUCUCUCUCUCUCUCUGUCUCUCUCUCUCCCCCCUCCCUUCUCUCUCUCUCUCUGCUCUCUCUGGCCAUCUGGGCGCUGCUCCUCCGCGCCUCUGGCCUUCCCGCGGUGCGCCAGGCCCAUCUCCUCACCAGCAGCUCUGGGAUCCGACGGCGCCGCGGGUGGGGGCAGGUGAGACGGCCGAGCCCCGCCCGGGCGGAGGCAGGAAGCGCUCGCGCCAAUCCCCCUCCCGGACCCUGUUCUCGCCCGCAACUCACUGGCGCCAGGGGGACGCAGGAGCAUGAGCCCCUUCGCGCCCCCAGCGCCGUCGGCGUCGCUGCCCCAGACACAGACACUGCCUCGAGAGGCCUCGCAGAGCGGGGGGACAGAGGGCGGCGACCCGGAGCCGCCUUAUCCCUCGCCUUGGGCGCCGUCACAGUCCCCAGAAGCCCUGGGCUCCUGCAGUCUACCAAGACGCGCGGCGGACGGCGUGGUUCCGAGAGAGGGCGCCAAAGGCGACAUGCCGGCGGCCAGCUCCAGGCCGAGUCCCGAGCGCCUGCGGGAACAGGCCUCUUCACCCGGCGCGGGACGCAGAGCUGCGCGAGAAUCUUGUUCAGCGCGGACUCAACGCCAGGGCGCCGCCUAGAGGUCGGUUUCUUUCUCGGCCUCACCCGCUGGGAAACCACAGAGCUGCUUCCCCAGCCGCCCGCCGCCAGAAAUAGGAAAAAAAAAAAAAAAAAAAAAAAAAAAUCCAGCUGGGGUCUAGGAACUCGGCUUCUGGCACCUCUAACUUCUCCGAGACUGUCUCCUCCCUCCCCGCCCCGUAAUGAACCCCGUGAAGGGAGACGGGCCAGGAAGUCCCAGAAAUAUUUAUUCUUGCGACUCUCACAAAAUGGAAGAGGGUCUCAAUUUUUGUUUAAGGAUCUUGUGUUCUGCGUCUGUGUCUACACUGCCUUCUCUCACCAUCCAAAUUGUCCAGCCCCCCCUCCAGUUAUGCUAGAACUCUGCUUUAUCUUCAAGGAAGAAAGGGAGUGGGGAGAAGCUAUCUCUAAACCCUCCAGCAUGGCCAUCAAUUUUCUUAAUAAUUUGGAGAUCAACAUGCUUUUGGAAAAAUGUUUGGAAAACGUUUGGGGGUGA
rnacentral:lncRNA from 1 species